GUCUUGUCUUUCUCUUUUCAAAUGUUUUGGAAGGAGAGUUAAGAAUAGCUCAGAAACUGGUCUUGCUCUUUUUGUGGGGAGAGUGACCAGAGGCAGAAAAGCCAAAUCUUCCAGCAAGUACCAGAUACCUCUUUCAGUGUUUGCAGUAAACCUAGCAGAAUGAAUGGCUGUCUGUAAAGGACUGUGCUAUGACACCUAAAAUGAAAGGAAUGGUAGAGCAAAGUAAUGACUCAAAGGCUGCCACGGAGCUUUUGUCUACCUUUAACUCAUUGUGGCAAAAUUGGACAUUCCAAAGAUGGCAUAGAUGAACAUGACCAGGAAGAGCAGAAGGCCGAUGUUAAACAAUGCAGGAAGGGACAUCAUCAAAGCAAAGAGCAGUGUGCGGAUUCCCUUGGCCCCUUUGAUCAGACGCAGGAUUCGGCCAAUCCUGGCAAGACGGAUCACUCGGAAUAGGAGCCUGGUCAAGAGAUCUCUGGGCAGGGAGAGUGCAAGAACAAAGGCCCUACAGCAGAAAUAAAGUUGGUGUAUGGGAGAAACAGCAGUCUUUAGGCUAAAAUUGAAACAAAUAUUACAUACCCUGAAUCGGUGCUGAAACCACAAAGGAGAGCAUCUUUGGAUCCCUCCAAGUAAUAAAAAUAUUCUGUUUAGGAAGAAAUUGAACAACAUCACAUUAUGGAGUGUAAGCUUUCAGGGUGGCUGAGCAGUUCACAGAAAAUCAGAACUAUAUAAAUCCUGUUAUAAAAAAAUGUCUCCCUGAAACUGAGCUGAGGAAUUUCGAGAUGAUACAUGUCAAAGG